ACAUGGGCUGAUCGGCCGGCUUCGGUCCAAUGCUGCCAAAGGAAAUGCACCUUUAGUUUCCAGCCCGUUCUCGGAGUACGAGUCACUGAAACAGUUCGAUAACAAGUUGACUGGCCAGAUGAAAGAUGUGCUUGUGGAAGAGCUUGCCAACAAAGGUGGAAUCAAUGCUGCUGCGUGCACAAAAAGAAUUCUUUGCUACCUGCUCUGUGACAAUCUUGCAGCGGAAUUCUCAUGGCUUGGAAAAAAAGGAAAGCGUAGAUUCAGCGAGCUCCGUCUUGCCUCUUGCAUAAUAAGUGCUGUGCAAAAGGUUCACGCUGCAAAUGAAUUUGCCAUAGAGGCAGCCAUUCGAGAAUGGCUGCGUCAUGCCCCAGCAAGGCACAGGAAUGCAGCAAGAGGUAAUAAACCUGCUAUGCAUUUUGCAGUAAGC
rnacentral:lncRNA from 1 species